GUUUGAUCCUGGCUCAGGAUGAACGCUGGCGGCGUGCCUAACACAUGCAAGUCGAGCGAGAAUUCUUUAAAUGAACCUUCGGGUGAUUCUAAAGAAGGACAGCGGCGGACGGGUGAGUAACGCGUGGGCAACCUGCCCUAUACAGAGGGAUAGCUUCGGGAAACCGGGAUUAAUACCUCAUAAAACUCUAGUAUCGCAUGAUACAUGAGUCAAAGAUUUAUCAGUAUAGGAUGGGCCCGCGUCUGAUUAGCUAGUUGGUAAGGUAAUGGCUUACCAAGGCGACGAUCAGUAGCCGACCUGAGAGGGUGAUCGGCCACACUGGAACUGAGACACGGUCCAGACUCCUACGGGAGGCAGCAGUGGGGAAUAUUGCACAGUGGGCGAAAGCCUGAUGCAGCAACGCCGCGUGAGCGAUGAAGGCCUUCGGGUCGUAAAGCUCUGUUCUAAGGGAAGAAUAAUGACGGUACCUUAGAAGGAAGCCCCGGCUAACUACGUGCCAGCAGCCGCGGUAAUACGUAGGGGGGCGAGCGUUAUCCGGAAUCAUUGGGCGUAAAGGGUGCGUAGGCGGUUAUGUAAGUUAGAGGUGAAAGGCUACGGCUCAACCGUAGUAAGCCUUUAAAACUGCAUAACUUGAGUGCAGGAGAGGAGAGUGGAAUUCCUAGUGUAGCGGUGAAAUGCGUAGAUAUUAGGAGGAACACCAGUGGCGAAGGCGACUCUCUGGACUGUAACUGACGCUGAGGCACGAAAGCGUGGGGAGCGAACAGGAUUAGAUACCCUGGUAGUCCACGCCGUAAACGAUGAGUGCUAGGUGUCGGGGGUCGAACCUCGGUGCCGCAGCUAACGCAUUAAGCACUCCGCCUGGGGAGUACGGUCGCAAGACUGAAACUCAAAGGAAUUGACGGGGACCCGCACAAGCAGCGGAGCAUGUGGUUUAAUUCGAAGCAACGCGAAGAACCUUACCAGGACUUGACAUCCUCUGCAUUACCCUUAAUCGGGGAAAUCCCUUCGGGGACAGAGAGACAGGUGGUGCAUGGUUGUCGUCAGCUCGUGUCGUGAGAUGUUGGGUUAAGUCCCGCAACGAGCGCAACCCUUGUCUUUAGUUGCCAGCAAGUAAUGUUGGGCACUCUAGAGAGACUGCCGGGGAUAACUCGGAGGAAGGUGGGGAUGACGUCAAAUCAUCAUGCCCCUUAUGUUCUGGGCUACACACGUGCUACAAUGGCUGGUACAACGGGAAGCGAAAGAGUAAUCUGGAGCAAAUCCUAUAAAGCCAGUCUCAGUUCGGAUUGUGGGCUGAAACUCGCCCACAUGAAGCUGGAGUUGCUAGUAAUCGUGGAUCAGAAUGCCACGGUGAAUGCGUUCCCGGGUCUUGUACACACCGCCCGUCACGCCAUGGAAGUUGGGGGCACCCGAAGUCAGCUAUCUAACCGCAAGGAGGAAGCUGCCGAAGGUGAAAUCAAUGACUAGGGUGAAGUCGUAACAAGGUAGCCG
rnacentral:rRNA from 1 species